rfam:Triticum aestivum genome assembly, contig: Triticum_aestivum_CS42_TGACv1_scaffold_557947_7AL
AUCCCGGAUUAACUUGCUUAGCUGUUCUUCUGAUUCAUGGGAGGCCAAAACUGAUGUCUGGGAGUUUCGCUGAUAGCGCCUCGUUACUACUGGAGGUGCUUCAUUAGUAACUUGCCACACAGAC